ACCUACGGGAGGCAGCAGUGAGGAAUAUUGGUCAAUGGGCGGGAGCCUGAACCAGCCAAGUCGCGUGAGGGAAGACGGUCCUAUGGAUCGUAAACCUCUUUUGUCGGGGAGCAAAGAGGCCACGUGUGGUCAAAAGCGAGAGUACCCGAAGAAAAAGCAUCGGCUAACUCCGUGCCAGCAGCCGCGGUAAUACGGAGGAUGCGAGCGUUAUCCGGAUUUAUUGGGUUUAAAGGGUGCGUAGGCGGUGCAGCAAGUCAGAAGUGAAAGCCCGGGGCUCAACUCCGGGACUGCUUUUGAAACUGUUG
rnacentral:rRNA from 1 species